rnacentral:lncRNA from 1 species
UUUAAUUUAUAGUAUCAUGUGGGCCCACAAACGACCAAAUGUAUCAAAAGCGGUAAACCUACAAUUUUUGAGAUGCAAGUCCAAUUGUAGCCCUCAACGAAAUGAGUUAUCUACCGACUAUCCUGAGCCUGAAAGGGGUGGAAAAGAGGGUGGUGAGAUUAUAUAAUCCCAAUGAGUAAACAAAUAUCAUCUAAAAUAUCUAAAGCCGAGUAAAUGGAGACAGAUAAAAUAGAUUAGCAUAAAAAUGAUUCACAGCAUUUCGAACUCAUUUUAAUAAGAUAAAAUAGAUUCAUUUCACCCAAAUAAACAACGAGACUUACGAUUUCCUGAAAAGUUUGGCUCCUACCAAAACCAUUCUCAUACUCAGUUAUCAGGGAUACCUUGGCCGAGAGCUAUCCCAACUGAAUCCGCCAAGGUUGUUAAAAGAGAUCAUGUACGCAUAAAUCAUGUUUUUAUUUUGAAAACAUAGUCGUUCCUUGGCGUUGGCUGAGUUCAC